CAGAUUCCAGGUACAACAUCUGAAGUUUCUGUCCAGAAGAGUGCAGUCCUAGGACCAGCUAAGACACUGCGCAGAACCCUCAAACCAGGCCUCUGGUAUAGGACCCGAGCUUGAGGAUGACACAUGCCACCCCACGGGGUGGUGAUGCUGCAAAACCUCAUGAACCAAGGACUGGAUAAGCACAACAUAGUCCGGUUUGAUGAGGCCUUUAAAUUAGAUACAUCAUCAUGCUGAUGUAUCAUUGAAGACAGAGCUUAUUGAUUUCGGCUUGGCGAUUCCCAGAUCAGAAGCCUGGCAGGGAGGUCGGUAUCAAGCUCGUUACUGCAGGCCAUUGACAUGUGUUCGCUGGUCGUGGUGGCCUUGCUUGGAGUUGUCCUUUUUCCUGGGCGCUGUGACUAUGACUCGGUAAGUAAUUCACCAUCACUGGUCUCUGCUUGCUUUCUGCUGUGUCCCUAAUAAAUCUGUUACCGCUGCACCAGCCAGACAAUCAUUUUUGAGAGGUGUCUGUCAGUCACAUGUAUCCAUACAUAAGGAUGGCAAUGCCUCCCUG